AUCCGCCAGAGUCACUGCUAUCGGGUUCGAUUAAGCCAUGCGAGUCGAGAGGGUUCAGCCCUCGGCGUACUGCUCAGUAACACGUGGAUAACCUGACCUGAGGAAGGGAUACACUAGAAACUGGGAAAAUACAUAUAGUUACAAUGCUGGAAUGCUCGGUAACUCAAAGUUCCGGCGCCUCAGGAUGGAUCUGCGGCCGAUUAGGUUGUUGUUGGGGUAAUGGCCCAACAAGCCGAUAAUCGGUACGGGUUGUGGGAGCAAGAGCCCGGAGUUGGAUUCUGAGACACGAAUCCAGGCCCUACGGGGCGCAGCAGGCGCGAAAACUUUACGAUGCGGGCAACCGUGAUAAGGGAACCUCGAGUGCCUGUAUAUGCAGGCUGUCCAGGUGUCUAAAACACACCUGAAGAAAGGGCCGGGCAAGACCGGUGCCAGCCGCCGCGGUAAUACCGGCGGCUCGAGUGGUGGCCGCUUUUAUUGGGCUUAAAGCGUUCGUAGCUGGGUUGUUAAGUCUCUUGGGAAAUCCGGCGGCUCAACCGUCGGGCGUCUAAGAGAUACUGGCGAUCUUGGAACCGGGAGAGGUGAGGGGUACUUCGGGGGUAGGAGUGAAAUCCUGUAAUCCUCGAGGGACCACCUGUGGCGAAGGCGCCUCACCAGAACGGCUUCGACAGUGAGGGACGAAAGCUGGGGGAGCAAACCGGAUUAGAUACCCGGGUAGUCCCAGCCGUAAACGAUGUGCGUUAGGUGUAUCGACGACCACGAGUCGUCGAGGUGCCGAAGGGAAACCGUGAAACGUACCGCCUGGGAAGUACGGUCGCAAGGCUGAAACUUAAAGGAAUUGGCGGGGGAGCAC
rnacentral:rRNA from 1 species